rnacentral:rRNA from 1 species
UUUGGUUAAGUUAGAAAGGGCGCACGGUGGAUGCCUUGACACUAGGAGUCGAUGAAGGACGGGACUAACGCCGAUAUGCUUCGGGGAGCUGUAAGUAAGCUUUGAUCCGAAGAUUUCCGAAUGGGGAAACCCACCAUACGUAAUGGUAUGGUAUCCUUAUCUGAAUACAUAGGGUAAGGAAGACAGACCCAGGGAACUGAAACAUCUAAGUACCUGGAGGAAGAGAAAGCAAAUGCGAUUUCCUGAGUAGCGGCGAGCGAAACGGAACAUAGCCCAAACCAAGAGGCUUGCCUCUUGGGGUUGUAGGACAUUCUAUACGGAGUUACAAAGGAACGAGGUAGACGAAGCGACCUGGAAAGGUCCGUCGUAGAGGGUAACAACCCCGUAGUCGAAACUUCGUUCUCUCUUGAAUGUAUCCUGAGUACGGCGGAACACGUGAAAUUCCGUCGGAAUCUGGGAGGACCAUCUCCCAAGGCUAAAUACUCCCUAGUGAUCGAUAGUGAACCAGUACCGUGAGGGAAAGGUGAAAAGCACCCCGGAAGGGGAGUGAAAGAGAUCCUGAAACCGUGUGCCUACAAAUAGUCAGAGCCCGUUAACGGGUGAUGGCGUGCCUUUUGUAGAAUGAACCGGCGAGUUACGAUCCCGUGCGAGGUUAAGCUGAAGAGGCGGAGCCGCAGCGAAAGCGAGUCUGAAUAGGGCGUUUAGUACGUGGUCGUAGACCCGAAACCAGGUGAUCUACCCAUGUCCAGGGUGAAGUUCAGGUAACACUGAAUGGAGGCCCGAACCCACGCACGUUGAAAAGUGCGGGGAUGAGGUGUGGGUAGCGGAGAAAUUCCAAUCGAACCUGGAGAUAGCUGGUUCUCCCCGAAAUAGCUUUAGGGCUAGCCUUAAGUGUAAGAGUCUUGGAGGUAGAGCACUGAUUGGACUAGGGGUCCUCAUCGGAUUACCGAAUUCAGUCAAACUCCGAAUGCCAAUGACUUAUCCUUAGGAGUCAGACUGCGAGUGAUAAGAUCCGUAGUCAAAAGGGAAACAGCCCAGACCGCCAGCUAAGGUCCCAAAGUGUGUAUUAAGUGGAAAAGGAUGUGGAGUUGCUUAGACAACUAGGAUGUUGGCUUAGAAGCAGCCACCAUUUAAAGAGUGCGUAAUAGCUCACUAGUCGAGUGACUCUGCGCCGAAAAUGUACCGGGGCUAAAUACACCACCGAAGCUGCGGAUUGAUACCGANUGGUAUCAGUGGUAGGGGAGCGUUCUAAGGACAGUGAAGUCAGACCGUAAGGACUGGUGGAGUGCUUAGAAGUGAGAAUGCCGGUAUGAGUAGCGAAAGACGGGUGAGAAUCCCGUCCACCGAAUGCCUAAGGUUUCCUGAGGAAGGCUCGUCCGCUCAGGGUUAGUCAGGACCUAAGCCGAGGCCGACAGGCGUAGGCGAUGGACAACAGGUUGAUAUUCCUGUACCACCUCUUUAUCGUUUGAGCAAUGGAGGGACGCAGAAGGAUAGAAGAAGCGUGCGAUUGGUUGUGCACGUCCAAGCAGUUAGGCUGAUAAGUAGGCAAAUCCGCUUAUCGUGAAGGCUGAGCUGUGAUGGGGAAGCUCCUUAUGGAGCGAAGUCUUUGAUUCCCCGCUGCCAAGAAAAGCUUCUAGCGAGAUAAAAGGUGCCUGUACCGCAAACCGACACAGGUAGGCGAGGAGAGAAUCCUAAGGUGUGCGAGAGAACUCUGGUUAAGGAACUCGGCAAAAUGACCCCGUAACUUCGGGAGAAGGGGUGCUUUCUUAACGGAAAGCCGCAGUGAAUAGGCCCAAGCGACUGUUUAGCAAAAACACAGCUCUCUGCGAAGCCGUAAGGCGAAGUAUAGGGGGUGACACCUGCCCGGUGCUGGAAGGUUAAGGAGAGGGGUUAGCGUAAGCGAAGCUCUGAACUGAAGCCCCAGUAAACGGCGGCCGUAACUAUAACGGUCCUAAGGUAGCGAAAUUCCUUGUCGGGUAAGUUCCGACCCGCACGAAAGGUGUAACGAUUUGGGCACUGUCUCAACCAGAGACUCGGUGAAAUUAUAGUACCUGUGAAGAUGCAGGUUACCCGCGACAGGACGGAAAGACCCCGUGGAGCUUUACUGUAGCCUGAUAUUGAAUUUUGGUACAGUUUGUACAGGAUAGGCGGGAGCCAUUGAAACCGGAGCG